rnacentral:misc_RNA from 1 species
GAUGAAGAACGUAGCGAAAUGCGAUAAUUAAUGUGAAUUGCAGAAUUCCGUGAAUCAUCGAGUCUUUGAACGCACAUUGCGCCCUGUGGUAUUCCGCAGGGCAUGCCUGUUCGAGCGUCAUUUCAACCCUCAAGCUCUGCUUGGUGUUGGGCCCUGCCCGCUGCGGCCGGCCCUAAAGACAGUGGCGGUGCCGCCUGGCCCUGAGCGUAGUACAUCUCUCGCUCCAGUGCCCGGUGGUAGCCUGCCAGAACCCCAACUCUCGUGGUUGACCUCGGAUCAGGUAGGGAUACCCGCUGAACUUAAGCAUAUCAAUAAGCGGAGGA